GAAUUUCGUGUGUGUGCGGUGGGUGGACGUGAUUUGUCUCAAUGGGUCUCUUGUUCAGUAAACGUAAUUCAAUUUAUUUUUAGCCUUUUUUUAAGAGCUGGAUAGUAUCAAGUGCUUAUCGAUUCCUGAGGUCCUUAUAUCCGGAGCAUAGAGUACAUAUGCCUUUGUAACGUGUUUAUGCCUCCACUUUGAAAGCGAGUUUACAGAGUUGAAAAACAAAUGAUAAAACAUCAAUUAUUUGCAAGGAAAAAAACUCAAAUUUACUUUUAUGCUGUAACGUUGCCCAGACGUAAGGAAACCGAAUUUUUUGUUUUACGAUGCUAGUUUAUUUUAGACAUGUGUUGUGGGAAUGUAAUGGCAGUCGAUAUGGAAUUAGAAGACAGAAAAGAAACAAUAUAGAAACAAAAAAAAAACAAAAGCCAUUUGUCCGGUUCAGAGAAGCCAAAUCUGAGAUUUUUCCCUGGUCUGCCGUCUCUACCGAACGAGUGUCGGAAGCCGUGCCAAGUGCUAAGAAAUGUCCGGCCUUUCCAUCGCCGAAAGGAGAGAUAAAAGAAAAGAAAAUAAAAUAACAAGACCAAGACUAAGACGACCUCGAACCAAUGGAGAAAAGAAAUAAAUGUUAGUGUAACAUUUUCUGGAUUGUUGGGACGUGCGCCAACAGCCAAGACAACCUCCUCCUGCUCUUGCAUCCGCAUUCUAUGGGAUACAUUACGUUAUUAUACUUAUUGCCCCAUUUUUACGUUAUCUCGUUUCGUUUGAAGGAUCGCACUGAUGCCCAGCCAUCAUUAAGUAUCGCACUAUUCUGGACACCUUAAUAACUUUUAUACAACUGCAUUGUUUCUUCUUUUGUUCGACCCUUUUCCCGAUGAGUUUUAUUCGCUAAAAGCCGUUCACAGAAACCACGGCGAUGAUCUAUCGAUGAUUUUUGUAUCUGUCUGAAAGGUGAAAGAACAUUAUCUAUAAAACAUUGGGCGUCUUUUUAAGUUACGCAAAUGCUUGUCACCAUCAAA